ACGAGAUCGAGGGCGGGGCUCAGCGCGCGAAAAGCCUGAAGGCUCUGUUGUCGCUAAGCAACGGUGAUAGGUGAUAGAAUCCGCACUUCCUAGUGCAGUCUGUACAAGCGCCAUGGGGUUCCACUGGGCCUGACUCCCGUUCUAGUAUGAAUAUGAAGUGUUGAAGGCUCCGUCCUCAGAUGACGUCAUGAUUGAAGGGUAAUAAGAUGUUUUGUCAUGGAAGUGAAAACACAAUAUGUCUCCAGAGUGGGGAUGGCCUAAUGGACCCCAAAUGCUGGCACGUCAUUCGAGGCCUCUUGAUGUCGCAGUGAGCAUGGAGCAGAGGCAGUACUAGUAAGACAUGUCUCGUUCAGUCUGGAGAAGCUCCUGGGGACAGUGACCAAGUGUCUGGCUAGGAUGAUGAGGGGCUGUCUGGGCUGCUCUGUCCCUGGAGGCAGGAAGGAUACCCUGGCAGCUCUAGAAAUGUGUGUGCUCAGAUGCUCACUUCUGGGAACCCUGUAAUAUACAAAUCUGUCUUGCAUACGCUUGCUGGAUAUUGUUUUCUUUUUCUUUUUUUUUAAAGAUU